AAUUGGAGAGGGUACAGUCCCUCGUAACUUGUAUUUAU
rnacentral:guide_RNA from 1 species